rnacentral:sRNA from 1 species
CUCCCUGAUGCGUCCCCACCCCAGGCCCUGCCCAUGGCCCCUGAUGCCCACAGUAGCCCCCACUGCAGCCCGGGAAAUGAGUGUACAUCACACAGGGGACUCAGGUGCACAUUUGGAAAUAAAGGACAAGCAAGAGGCCAGAAAGGACAAAGUGGGAGCAGGAGACCUUAGAACUGGGGAGGGGGAGAGGGAGGGGACAUGUGGCAACAGCAGCUCAAGUGAGUCAGGUCUCGUAUCCGCACCUCAGCCAUUUCCGCCUCCCCUAGAAUCCACAGCCACUCUGCAAGAGGAAGCUGGGGUUUGUGGUUCCUGUUUUGCCUGGGAAGAAAGAGUAGCAGUGAAGAGGGGGCUGGUGGGAGCUCUGACACAUUUCGGCAUCAUUAACGCUUCCCCCAGGGGCAGAAGGGGCCAGAUUGGUGGCUCUGGGGUGCAUCCCCUCACCUAUGAUUAGGCUUGCAAAAAAGAACUUGGCUAAACUUUAUAUUGUGGAUAUCUGUGUCUGCCUCCCACCUUCCUGUGACUUCCUUGAUGGCAGAUGCCAUGUAUGAAACGCUGCUGAAUUUCUAGAGCCCUGCACGUUAGUAGGACUCCAUUUUCCAUCAGCUGAGUGACCUGGGAGGCACACUAGAGAGGGCACAUUUCUUUUCUUUUCUUUUCUUUUUUUUUUUUUUUGAGACAGUCUCACUCUGUCACCCAGGCUGGAGUGUAGUGGCGCAGUCUCAGCUCACUGCAACCUCUGCCUCCUGGGUUCAAGUGAUUCUCCUGCCUCAGCCUCCCGAGUAGCUGGGAUUACAGGUGCAUGCCACCACACCUGGUUAAUUUUUGUAUCUUUAGUAGAGACAGGGUUUCACCAUGUUAGCCAGGCUGGUUUCGAACUCCUGACCUCAGGUGAUCUGCCCACCUUGGCCUCCCAAAGUGCUGGGAUGACAGGCAUGAGCCACCACGCCCAGACGAGAGGGCACAUUUCCAACUGCAUUCUGAAGGCCUGGUGGUGAGAAAGAGCAUAUAGAGGUGGCACAGCCCAUAGCAGAGAUGAGGCCAAGGACAAGAAGAGAAUGCAGGAUGCCGCUUUCCACCUAGAAGAAGUUUAAAACCUGCGGUUCCAGGGUUCUCCAGCCCCUCCCUUUCUCACGCUCCGAAGCCGAGAAGGCCCAAAGCGAAGACAGAGAGGACCCGGAAGUAGGGAAAACCUCUGAGCACGUGAUGGGGGAACACGCGGGUGCUGUCACGUGAUCCGACAAACGGCCUCUGCAUAGUGCAGAACAUUCUGCUGCUCUUAAAGACCCUCAUCCCUCCCGUGGGAGCCCCCUUUGGACACUCUAUGACCCUGGACCCUCGGGGGACCUGAACUUGAUGCGAUGGGAGGCUGUGCAGGCUCGCGGCGGCGCUUUUCGGAUUCCGAGGGGGAGGAGACCGUCCCGGAGCCCCGGCUCCCUCUGUUGGACCAUCAGGGCGCGCAUUGGAAGAACGCGGUGGGCUUCUGGCUGCUGGGCCUUUGCAACAACUUCUCUUAUGUGGUGAUGCUGAGUGCUGCCCACGACAUCCUUAGCCACAAGAGGACAUCGGGAAACCAGAGCCAUGUGGACCCAGGCCCAACGCCGAUGCCCCACAACAGCUCAUCACGAUUUGACUGCAACUCUGUCUCUACGGCUGCUGUGCUCCUGGCGGACAUCCUCCCCACACUCGUCAUCAAAUUGUUGGCUCCUCUUGGCCUUCACCUGCUGCCCUACAGCCCCCGGGUUCUCGUCAGUGGGAUUUGUGCUGCUGGAAGCUUCGUCCUGGUUGCCUUUUCUCAUUCUGUGGGGACCAGCCUGUGUGGUGUGGUCUUCGCUAGCAUCUCAUCAGGCCUUGGGGAGGUCACCUUCCUCUCCCUCACUGCCUUCUACCCCAGGGCCGUGAUCUCCUGGUGGUCCUCAGGGACUGGGGGAGCUGGGCUGCUGGGGGCCCUGUCCUACCUGGGCCUCACCCAGGCCGGCCUCUCCCCUCAGCAGACCCUGCUGUCCAUGCUGGGUAUCCCUGCCCUGCUGCUGGCCAGCUAUUUCUUGUUGCUCACAUCUCCUGAGGCCCAGGACCCUGGAGGGGAAGAAGAGGCAGAGAGCGCAGCCCGGCAGCCCCUCAUAAGAACCGAGGCCCCGGAGUCGAAGCCAGGCUCCAGCUCCAGCCUCUCCCUUCGGGAAAGGUGGACAGUGUUCAAGGUUCGGAUGAUGGCUGGGGUAUGUCCCUGUGGGGCUUGCUCACCUCCAGGCCCCCCGCUUAUAUCUUCUGCCUUUUCCAGGGUCUGCUGUGGUACAUUGUUCCCUUGGUCGUAGUUUACUUUGCCGAGUAUUUCAUUAACCAGGGACUUGUAAGUGAGGGGUGCUAGGAGGGGUGUGGAGGUGGCGAUUGGGGCUGGGACCCACACGGCCCCGUCCAUCUCCCCUGUCUGGUAUUUGUUGCAGUUUGAACUCCUCUUUUUCCGGAACACUUCCCUGAGUCACGCUCAGCAAUACCGCUGGUACCAGAUGCUGUACCAGGCUGGCGUCUUUGCCUCCCGCUCUUCUCUCCGCUGCUGUCGCAUCCGUUUCACCUGGGCCCUGGCCCUGCUGCAG